CACAGAUGGAACCAGUUUUUGCAGAUGAAGCUGCUCUUGUUGGCCCUGCUUUGAGCAGAGUGGUUAGACUAGAUGGUCUCCAGGGAAGCCUUCCAAACUCUUCUGUGAUCUGCCAACCACUAGAAAACCAGGACUGCUGUACCACCCGACUCAGUACCUCCACCAGCAUAUUUGAAGAGGACAUUGGUGCUGGUCCUCUCACAGGAGGAAUGGGUCAUGUUGUGUCAAGGAUCUAUAGCAGACCUGUGCUUCUGUGCUCUCUGGUUUCUUGCCGAAGGGUUAGGGGUGGCUUCUAAACCUCAAAGUUACCUUGAACAUCACCAGCUUUUACACGUAUGUUAUGCAUAAGGUGAGGCCUGUAGAACUGGCUUCAGGUGUGGAAGUGCACAGAGAAAACAGAUGGAACAAAGGUUGCUUGUUUGGGGUCCUAGAAGAACAAGGGUUCAGAUCCCCCACAGGACUGAGGCACCAAGAUAAUUUUGGCAGUCUUGGCUAGCCAGGAGAUGGUACGCAGUGUGAAGUGCUACAAUAUGCAAUGGAAGGCAAAAUGGCAGAAUCUUGUCUGGAGUAACAUUCUGGGACAAUGCUGAAUUUGUAAACCAUUCAUGCAUUUCCACAAAAAGACAUGCAAAGGGAGAGAAGUGUACUUAGCUGAGCCACGAACAGCCUACUCCAGCGAUACCUUCAUUUGCUCAUGCUGAUACCAUCUGCAAGGAGAGGGUGUUGGAAAUGAGACCAAAGCAUUUUGCAAAAAGAAAAAAAAAUAAUAUUCAUCAACUUGCAAGCAAUAUAACUUCUGGUAUUUUCCCUUCAAAUUAAAAACACUUGUCAGGCAGAUUUCCAGCAUAGCGUGUGGUGAGUUUGUAGCAAAAUUAUGAUGAACAUAAAGAAAACACUGUCAGGUUCAGUUCAGCUCUAUAUCUGGGGUUUGGGGA